CUUGGCGGCCAUAUUUGAAGUGGGUAAAAAUCUGAAAAGCCGCGUGACCAUGAGCACGCAGAGAGCCUUUUCUGGAGAUUGAAAGGAAGUGGAAGAGCCAGGUUAGCUAUCAUCGUAAGCUAUCAUCGUUUGUGAUGGCGUAAACCUGGGUAAUUUUCCUCUAAUGUCGCGAUUGUCCUCUGAUUCGUCAGUUUAAAAAUAGCCUCAGAAAAGUCUUGGCUGUACUUGCAGAGGAUUUUUCCCACUCAAUGAUGUUCGAUUCUUUUGAUUCUUAUUGCUAGGUGAAUUGUAAUCGCAGGUCCAAUGAAAUUUGAGGGUAGUCUAGCGUCUGACAGAAAUGAAGAGAAGGCAGCCGCUGGGAAAUAUUUUCCUCCCAGAUAAAAAGACAAAGCUUCCAGAGGAGACUUCACCUUUCCAUUUUUUCUUCUGGGAAAGCCAGCUGCUGUGUUAGAAUUUUGACUUUUCAGACUUACUGCCUGUGAAAAGCCCAACCAACCACUUGAAGAAGAACAGAGGUUUGGGCUAACAGCCUCAGUUGAACCCUCAGCCAGCAGUCAACACCAGCUUUUGCCAGCCACGUGAAGAAGGCCAUUUAAAACGUGGAUUCUCCAGCCCAUUGGAGCCACCUCAGGUGACUCCAUGUGGAGCAAAGAAAGGCUAUUUGAGCCCACAUUGCAAAAUUACAAGCAAAUAAAUAAAAUUAUUGUGGUUUUGAGCCACUAAGUUUUGGAGUACUUUGUUGUUCAAUAAUAGAUAGCUGAAAUGUACAGGCAAACUUGGAAGAUACUAUGGGUUGGGUUCCAGACCACUACAAUAAAGCCAAUAUCAUAA